AUGAUACUCUCUCCAUCCUAAAAUUAUUGUCUUAGAUUUGUCUAAAUACGGAUGUAUCAAGACAUGUUUUAGUAUUAGGUACAUCCAUAUCUAGACAAAUCUAAGACAAGAAUUUUGGGAUAGAGGGAGUAUAUA
rnacentral:pre_miRNA from 1 species